UACGGAGGGUGCAAGCGUUGCUCGGAAUUAUUGGGCGUAAAGGGUAGGUAGGUGGUCUCAUUGGUCUGUGGUGAAAGCCUUGGGCUUAACUCAAGAAGUGCCGCAGAAACGGUGAGACUGGAGUCCUGGAGAGGGUCGUGGAAUUCCCGGUGUAGCGGUGAAAUGCGUAGAGAUCGGGAGGAACACCAGAGGCGAAGGCGGCGACCUGGACAGGUACUGACACUCAACUACGAAAGCGUGGGGAGCAAACAGG
rnacentral:rRNA from 1 species